CGCGGGGUGGAGCAGUUCGGUAGGCUCGCCGGGCUCAUAACCCGGAGGUCGCAGGUUCAAAUCCUGUCCCCGCUAC
rnacentral:tRNA from 1 species